UACAGAGGGUGCAAGCGUUAAUCGGAGUUACUGGGCGUAAAGGGCGCGUAGGCGGUUAGAUAAGUGAGAUGUGAAAGCCCUGGGCUUAACCUAGGAACUGCAUCUUAUACUGUUUAACUAGAGUAUUGUAGAGGGUAGCGGAAUUUCCGGUGUAGCGGUGAAAUGCGUAGAGAUCGGAAGGAACACCAGUGGCAAAGGCGGCUACCUGGACAAAUACUGACGCUGAGGCGCGAGAGCGUGGGGAGCAAACAGG
rnacentral:rRNA from 1 species